rnacentral:rRNA from 1 species
GAUGAACGCUGGCGGCGUGCCUAAUACAUGCAAGUCGAGCGAAUGGAUUAAGAGCUUGCUCUUAUGAAGUUAGCGGCGGACGGGUGAGUAACACGUGGGUAACCUGCCCAUAAGACUGGGAUAACUCCGGGAAACCGGGGCUAAUACCGGAUAACAUUUUGAACCGCAUGGUUCGAAAUUGAAAGGCGGCUUCGGCUGUCACUUAUGGAUGGACCCGCGUCGCAUUAGCUAGUUGGUGAGGUAACGGCUCACCAAGGCAAUGAUGCGUAGCCGACUGGAGGGGGAGGGCGGCCACACUGGGACUGAGACACGGCCCAGACUCCUGCGGGAGGCAGCAGUAGGGAAUCUUCCGCAAUGGACGAAAGUCUGACGGAGCAACGCCGCGUGAGUGAUGAAGGCUUUCGGGUCGUAAAACUCUGUUGUUAGGGAAGAACAAGUGCUAGUUGAAUAAGCUGGCACCUUGACGGUACCUAACCAGAAAGCCACGGCUAACUACGUGCCAGCCGCCGCAGUAA